CUGAGCGCGCGAUGCAAGACGCGUUUUGAUUGGUUUGAAUGAUCAAAAUUGUCCUAAAACGAAUACGAGACGACGGACGCAAGAGGACGCGAAUAAAGCCUUUCAUAGCUGGAAAAAAAACAUACACUUGAAAACGCUUGAAAACAGACACCGAAGUUGUUUCUGCCUGACAGUGAUCCUGACACGAACCAAGGCGUCUCCUGUGCUGAUGGUAAACAAUGGUAAUGGAUCCAGCACAUGGUUUUGGACACACUCCUGCAUCCCUUCAUCACAGAUUGAGCGAUGAACCCCUGACUGUAAGUGCAUUACAGACCUGACUCUCCGGCUACAGUCCUGCCUUUAAAGAUACUGCAUUUAGCCCGUUCAGAAGGGUUUUUCUUUCCUUCCUAAACACAGAGCUGAAUGUCGCUCAUUUAUUUCAGCCGCUCUCCUAUGAGGAAACAUCGGAACAUGCCAAUGAGCAAUGUGAUUAGGCUCAGUCGAACCUGAGAGAUUGUUAUUUUUGCAUCAGUGCCAGGGUAUAAAAGCACACCUUGUACAUUAUGUGAUACGCUCGAGCUCAGCGUCUCUGACAAGGGGGGAAAAAAUAUAGUGCUGUGUUGGUUACGGUGUGUUAUAGCCACUGUUCCUUUUUAAUGAUUUGGACUUUCCCCCGCCGCCGGGACCCAGAACUCUGCGCAAUAUAUCUAAAUUCAUAUUAUGUCCAUUUUGUUUUCACACAUUGUCUUUAUUGUGCGCUGUAAGUUUUGUGGCGUGUACUCACAUUUAAGGUGUUUGCUGAUUUAUUCUGCUAUCUUUUAGUUUGAUAAUUAAUCACACUUUCCAAGGUGUUCCAUUUAGCCGCCACGCACGUUUUAAGAGGUGAUAUAUUCUCGUACGUCUUAAAAAAUCCAUCGUUCAUGCAAAGUACUAGUUAAAAAAUGUAAUGCACCAUCAUUACUCAUCUUAUGUCUCAGUGAAUUGCUUUUUUGAUGAGAAAAAAUAAAGCUAGAGAAUGUGCAAGCAAGAUGAAUCAAAAACACAUGAAUGAAUCAACAAUUUAUUACAAUCACAAUUCGGGGGGCUGAUUGCAAUCAGAUGAUGUCGUAUACGUUUCAGUUGAUUGCUUUAUAUGUAUCAUUCCAGUUCCACCUCAUCCCAGUCUCACGUUUAGAACCUGUAGAGCCUAUCAUGAGGUUUAGCAUAUAUUAUUAGUUAUAGUAAUCGUUUUGCAUUACCGUAACUCUACUGACAAAUCACUGCUUGAGAGAGAAGUCUGUGGAUGUUCUGCAUUCAAACUCGCAUGAAUCCUGAAUAAAUAUCCUAUUAAAUUAAUCUUCAAGUCUGGAAAGUAAAUAAACGGAGGCACCAAACUGCCACCUGUCACCUUCCUCCUUUA